rnacentral:tRNA from 1 species
GUGGGUGUAGCUCAGCUGGUAGAGCGCCGCCUUGUGGUGGCGGAUGUCGCGGGUUCAAAACCCGUCACUCACC